AUGGGAGGCAAACUAAGCAAGAAGAAGAAGGGAUAUGAUGUGAGCGAUCCGAAAGACAAGAAAGACGAGACCACAGCAACAACAGCUGGUGCAGAAGAAUCUGCUAAAGUGGAAGAUGAAGCUCAACCCACAGGAGCUGACUUGAUUGCAGAGGCAGGCAAAUUAAUACAGGAAGUUGCUGUGGCAGCUGUUGCAGCGGUAGCAGAAUCUGUAGUGGCUCCAGGUGAGCCCAAGCCUGUGCCUCCAGAGGAAAUGGCAAUAGAACAAAAACCUGCAGCAGUCGAAGCAGUUUCAGAAACUGAAGAAUCAACUGCAGCAGCAGCAGAAGAAGAAUGUGGCGUCACAACAGUGGAAACGACUCCAGUUGUUGAAGAAAAAUCUGCUGCUGCUGUAGCAGAAGAACCGGUUGUAACAUCAAUGGAAACAGCUCCAAUUGUUGAAACGGCCCCUGAAGCAGCAGCAGUGGAGUUGGUUCCAGUUGUUGAAGCUGAAGAGCAACCAAAAGCAGCAAACGAACCAGUUGUAAUGGCACUAGAAACAGCCCCAGUUAUUGAAAUAUCCCCUGCACCAGCAGCAGCAGUAGUUGAAUCAGCUCAAGUUGUUGAAGAACCCCUCCCUUCAGUUGAAGAUAAAGCCCCUGACGUUGAUCAGACAGUUCAAGCAUCAGCAGCCAUUGAAGAUGUUCAGGAAGAGGUUGCUCCAGCCUCAGAGGAACCUGUGCUGCCAAUUGAGGCUGUAUUAGAUCCUCCAGUGGUUCCUGAAGAGGUCCUAAUAGAAGAGCCCAUUGCAGCUGUUGAAUCUGUGCCAGAACAAAUGACAGCCCCUGAGGACAAAGAAACAGAGCUUGUUCCUGAUAAUGCUAUUGAGACGGAGGUCAUUGCUGCAGUCGCUGAACCUGAGCCAGAGGAAGAAUUAGUUCCUGAAUCAGUGCAAUUUUUGGAGGCAGAGCCUGAGGAAGUACCAGAACCAGAACCAGAGCAAGAAGUAGAAGCAGAGCAGGUAGCAGCAACUGAACUAGAACCUGAACUUAAGCAAACACCAGAGAUAGAUGAAGAACAAUCCCCAGAACCAGAACUUGAGCAGGAGGCAGAACCAGUAAAGCCUGCUGUAGAGGUACAAUUAGAAGACUUUAAGCCAGAACCGUUUAUAGUCACAUCUGACGUUACUGAACCCGAGACUGUGGCUGCAAACCUUUCAGAGGCCCUGGAGACUGCUGCAGAGGAAGACCUUACUGAAUUCCAAUCAUCAAAUGUUAAACCUGAUACAGCAGAAGCCUCAGAGGAAGCAGCUCAGCAAGAAGCAGCAGAACCCGUCCCUGACAUUGUCAUCUCAGAAUCUGUCUCCACCAAUCAAAUCACUCCUGAGGAAACAGCAGUUGAAGUUGCUGAGCAAGAGGUGCCUUGCCAGGAGCCUGAGGUGGAAACUAAUGGUGACUUGAAGAGCCCCACUGUUACAGAAAUAAAAGAUGAGGCCGAAGACGAUUCACCCAUAGCUGUGAAUGGGGAAUGUGGAGAUUCUAGUGAUGCUAAAACCACAGAUACAGAAGAGUAUGUCAAUGGGAAUGAAAAUUCUGAGGAGGAAGUUCCUGCCAAGGAUCAGAAUGACUUUGAACUGAAAAAGGAGAUCAACCUGAGUGGUGGUGUCCAGGAAGUCCCUGACGCAGUUCAAGACAUGGUAGAGAGUCUCAACACUGAGGUCACCCAAGCCGUCUGA
ensembl:lncRNA